rnacentral:rRNA from 1 species
UGCAAGUCGAACGCCCCGCAAGGGGAGUGGCAGACGGGUGAGUAACGCGUGGGAACAUACCCUUUCCUGCGGAAUAGCUCUGGGAAACUGGAAUUAAUACCGCAUACGCCCUACGGGGGAAAGAUUUAUCGGGGAAGGAUUGGCCCGCGUUGGAUUAGCUAGUUGGUGGGGUAAAGGCCUACCAAGGCGACGAUCCAUAGCUGGUCUGAGAGGAUGAUCAGCCACAUUGGGACUGAGACACGGCCCAAACUCCUACGGGAGGCAGCAGUGGGGAAUAUUGGACAAUGGGCGCAAGCCUGAUCCAGCCAUGCCGCGUGAAUGAUGAAGGCCUUAGGGU